CAGGACAGGCGUUCGCGGCUGCAAAUGCCGAAAGGCUGCAGGUGAGGAAAGUCCGGGCUUCACAGGGCAGGAUGCCGGAUAACGUCCGGUGGAGGCGACUCCAAGGCCAGUGCAACAGAAAUAAACCGCCGGCUUUUGCCGGUAAGGGUGGAAAGGCAGUGUAAGAGACUACCGCCUGUCCGGUAACGGACAGGGCACAUGUAAACCCCAUCCGAAGCAAGACCGAACAAAAACCAUGUGGCGGCCCGUCACGUUUUAGGUAGGUUGCUGGAACCUGCUGGCAACAGCAGGUCUGGAUAGAUGAACGCUCAACGACAUAACCCGGCUUAUCGUCCUGCCUGU
rnacentral:RNase_P_RNA from 1 species